AGCAGCCGCGGUAAUUCCAGCUCCAAUAGCGUAUAUUAAAGUUGUUGCAGUUAAAAAGCUAGUAGUUGAAUUUCGGGAUUGGCGCAUCGGUCGUGCCUCACGGGGUAUGAACUGGUGCAGUCAAUUUCUCACCUUCUGGAGAACCGCGAUGUCCUUAAUUGGAUGCCGCGGGGAACCAGGACCUUUACUUUGAAAAAAUUAGAGUGUUUAAAGCAGGCAUUUUUGCUUGAAUACAUUAGCAUGGAAUAAUAAAAUAGGACGGCAUGGUUCUAUUUUGUUGGUUUCUAGGACCACCGUAAUGAUUAAUAGGGAUAGUUGGGGGCAUUAGUAUUCAAUUGUCAGAGGUGAAAUUCUUGGAUUUAUUGAAGACUAACUACUGCGAAAGCAUUUGCCAAGGAUGUUUUCAUUAAUCAAGAACGAAAGUUAGGGGAUCGAAGACGAUCAGAUACCGUCGUAGUCUUAACCAUAAACUAUGCCGACUAGGAAUCAGACGAUGUUAAUUUUUUUAAUGACUCGUUUG
rnacentral:misc_RNA from 1 species